rnacentral:RNase_P_RNA from 2 species
GGUGCAAACCGGCUUAUCGCUUUGAUGCAGAUCAGGGAGGAAAGUCCGGGCAGUGCAGAGCAUCGUGCUUCCUAACAGGAAGGCUUUGGGUUGGUGACGAUUCAGGGACAGAAAGUGCCACAGAAAGGGAAACUACUCAGGUAAAAACAUUGUUUUUAUCUGAGAAAAGGUGAAAAGGUGAGGUAAGAGCUCACCGGGUAAUUGGUAACAAGUGCCGCAUGGUAAACCUCACGAACUGAAAGACCAUGUAAACUGGGGAUGUCCGUCAAUGGCGGAUGAGAGGGCUGCUCGUCCGAUCUCAGAGGGUAGGUCGAUAGACAUUGACGGUGACGUCAAUGCCAGAUAAAUGAUAAGCAUUUCGUAUUGAAAUACAGAACCCGGCUUAUAGGUUUGCACUUUUU